GAUAACGCUGGCGGCGUGCCUAAUGCAUGCAAGUCGAACGGGAGCGCCUUCGGGCGUCGACCGUGGCGGACGGGUGAGGAGCGCGUAGCUGACCUGCCCAGGUGUGGGGAGUAGCCGUCGGAAACGGGGUAGGUAGACCGCAUACGCUCAUGGUGGGGGACCGGCCAUGAGGAAAGGCUUUCUUCGGAGAGUCGCGCCUGGAGGGGCGUGCGUCCGAUUAGCUGGUUGGUGGGGUAACGGCCUACCAAGGCGGUGAUCGGUCGCUGGUCUGAGAGGACGACCAGCCACACGGGGACUGAGACACGGCCCCGACUCCUACGGGAGGCAGCAGCAAGGAAUUUUCCGCAAUGGGCGCAAGCCUGACGGAGCAACGCCGCG
rnacentral:rRNA from 1 species